UGUCUUCCUGGAGUGGAGUCAUUUGAGUUCUUUAUAUAUUUUGGAGAUCAAACCCUUACAUAUUUGCCAAUGUUAAAGUUAAUUGUUUUAAAGUGAGCAAUUCAAUGGCGUUUAGUACAUUCACAAUCACCACUUUUAGUUCCAAAACAAUUUUAUCACCCCAAAGGGAAACACCGUACCUGUUAAGGAGUUAUUCCCCAUUACUUCCUCUUCCUAUCUCUUGGCAACCACCAAACUCUUUUAUGUCUUUAUGGAUUAGCUAUUCUGGAUAUUUCAUAUAAAAGGAGUCAUACAAUAUGUGACAUUUUUAUGCCUGGUUUCUUUCACUUAGCAUAAUGUUUUCAGUUCUUCCAUGUUGAAGAAACUGGAGGGUAUGUAUAUAUGCUGAUGAUCUGGUACACGGGGACAAGUGGAAGAUUCAGGAGAGAGGGUGGUUAGGAAAUAAGGUGCACACCAUCCAUUUGCAAGUGAGAAGUUGGGGAGACCCCAUCUGAUAGCUUGUAUGUAUUCUAUGGUAUAGAAGGUCGGGCUUCCACUAAGAGUGAGGAGUCAGAGGUCUCUGUGAGGAUAUAUUAUCUGAACCAGUGAUUGAGUAAAGGGGUAGUGUGUGCUAGCUAGAGGAAUGUGGUUAUGAUUGGUGAGUGGUACUAGAUACUUUAAUCUUUGCUUGCUUUUUAUUUCAGUUCACAAAAGGUCUUUUGGGAGAAAUCCUCCAAAUGUUUCAUAGUCACAGAGGGAAUAUUUCUUGUUUUCUGCUCCUUCCUCUAAGACAGUGGUCUAGCCAUAUGAGAGCUUGGGGUCUUGCCACAAGUAGGGCCCCCAAUGUGUAGCUGCUUCACAAGUCUGAAAAGUCUUUAGAUGGGUUCUCCUGAAGUAGAAACUGAGAUAGAAGCUAGUAUUUAUUAGGGAUCCGCACAUAUGAAAGAAAGGAGGAGGAAGUAAGAUUGGACAGAGGAAGCAGUGAAACUGUGAUGCAAGCCCAACAAAGCCAUGGGCAUUGAGUGUUGUCCUUCAGAUUGUCCUACAUUAGGCCAAAAUGGUUAGCUUUUUGUACCCAUGCCUGGUUCAGUCAUAGUUACAGGCUGUUCCCAAAGAUCAUGACCUUGGUUAAA